rnacentral:rRNA from 1 species
AGUGAACGCUGGCGGUAGGCCUAACACAUGCAAGUCGAACGGCAGCACAGUAAGAUCUUGCUCUUACGGGUGGCGAGUGGCGGACGGGUGAGGAAUACAUCGGAAUCUACUUUUUCGUGGGGGAUAACGUAGGGAAACUUACGCUAAUACCGCAUACGUCCUACGGGUGAAAGCAGGGGAUCUUCGGACCUUUCGCGAUUGAAUGAGCCGAUGUCGGAUUAGCUAGUUGGCAGGGUAAAGGCCCACCAAGGCGACGAUCCGUAGCUGGUCUGAGAGGAUGAUCAGCCACACUGGAACUGAGACACGGUCCAGACUCCUACGGGAGGCAGCAGUGGGGAAUAUUGGACAAUGGGCGAAAGCCUGAUCCAGCCAUACCGCGUGAGUGAAGAAGGCCUUCGGGUUGUAAAGCCCUUUUGUUGGGAAAGAAAAGCAGCAGGUUAAUACCCCGCUGUUCUGACGGUACCCAAAGAAUAAGCACCGGCUAACUUCGUG